rnacentral:rRNA from 1 species
AGAGUUGAUCCUGGCUCAGAUUGAACGCUGGCGGCGUGCCUAACACAUGCAAGUCGUACGAGAACGCUUCAGCUUACUGAAGCUAGUAAAGUGGCGCACGGGUGAGUAACGCGUAGGUAAUUUGCCUCCAAGCCCGGAAUAACACCGCGAAAGUGGUGCUAAUACCGGAUAAUAUCCUGGAAUCUCCGGAUUUUGGGAUCAAAGGUGGCCUCUACAUGUAAGCUACUGCUUGGAGAAAAGCUUGCGUACCAUUAGCUUGUUGGUGAGGUAACGGCUCACCAAGGCUUUGAUGGUUAGCUGGUCUGAGAGGAUGAUCAGCCACACUGGAACUGAGACACGGUCCAGACUCCUACGGGAGGCAGCAGUGAGGAAUUUUGCGCAAUGGGGGAAACCCUGACGCAGCAACGCCGCGUGAGUGAAGAAGGCUUUUGAGUCGUAAAGCUCUGUCAAGUGGAAAGAAAUUGUCUAUCAAUAAUACUGAUAGGCAUUGACGGUACCACUAAAGGAAGCACCGGCUAACUCCGUGCCAGCAGCCGCGGUAAUACGGGGGGUGCUAGCGUUAAUCGGAAUUAUUGGGCGUAAAGGGCGCGCAGGCGGCCAUGUAAGUCAGAUGUGUAAGCCCGGGGCUCAACCCCGGAAGUACAUUUGAAACUAUAUGGCUUGAGUAUGGGAGAGGGAAGUGGAAUUCCUGGUGUAGCGGUGAAAUGCGUAGAUAUCAGGAGGAACACCGGUGGCGAAGGCGACUUCCUGGACCAAUACUGACGCUGAGGCGCGAAGGCGUGGGGAGCAAACCAGGAUUAGAUACCCUGGUAGUCCACGCAGUAAACGUUGAUCACUAGGUGUAGCGGGUUUUUACCCCUGCUGUGCCGAAGCUAACGCAUUAACUGAUCCGCUGGGGAGUACGAUCGC